rnacentral:rRNA from 1 species
CGCGUAGGUGGUUUGUUAAGUUGGAUGUGAAAGCCCCGGGCUCAACCUGGGAACUGCAUCCAAAACUGGCAAGCUAGAGUACGGUAGAGGGUGGUGGAAUUUCCUGUGUAGCGGUGAAAUGCGUAGAUAUAGGAAGGAACACCAGUGGCGAAGGCGACCACCUGGACUGAUACUGACACUGAGGUGCGAAAGCGUGGGGAGCAAACG